GCCCGGGUGGUGAAAUUGGUAGACGCAGGGGACUCAAAAUCCCCCGCCGCAAGGCGUGCCGGUUCGAUUCCGGCCCCGGGCACCA
rnacentral:tRNA from 520 species